UACAGAGGGGGCGAGCGUUGUUCGGAUUCAUUGGGCGUAAAGGGUGCGUAGGUGGCGGGGCAAGUUUGGUGUGAAAUCCCGGGGCUCAACCCUGGAACUGCACUGAAUACUGCUUUGCUAGAGUACUGGAGAGGGAACUGGAAUUUACGGUGUAGCAGUGAAAUGCGUAGAUAUCGUAAGGAAGACCAGUGGCGAAGGCGAGUUCCUGGACAGUUACUGACACUGAGGCACGAAGGCCAGGGGAGCAAACGGG
rnacentral:rRNA from 1 species